AUGAACGCUAGCGGCAGGCUUAACACAUGCAAGUCGAGGGGCAACACGGGUAGCAAUACCUGGUGGCGACCGGCGCAAGGGUGCGUAACGCGUGAGCAACAUGCCCUAUACAGGGGGAUAAUCCAGGGAAACUUGGUCUAAUAUCCCAUAGUAUUUAGAGGUGGCAUCACCACUAAAUUAAAGCUUCGGUGGUAUAGGAUUGGCUCGCGUGACAUUAGCUGGAUGGUGGGGUAACGGCUCACCAUGGCGAUGACGUCUAGGGGUUCUGAGAGGAAGACCCCCCCACACUGGGACUGAGACACGGCCCAGACUCCUACGGGAGGCAGCAGUGAGGAAUAUUGGACAAUGGAUGGAAAUCUGAUCCAGCCAUGCCGCGUGCAGGAAGACGGCCCUAUGGGUUGUAAACUGCUUUUAUAUGGGAGCAAUAAGGUUUACGCGUAGACCGAUGAGAGUACCAUAUGAAUAAGCAUCGGCUAACUCCGUG
rnacentral:rRNA from 1 species